rnacentral:tRNA from 1 species
AGGAUAUUAAUUUAAUUAAAAAUUUUCAAAUUGCAUUUGAAUAAUGAUAAUAAUUAUCAUAUCUUA